GAGAUGUGGGUAGUCCGUACGAGCGCACCCUUGUCCUUAUUUGCCAGCACGUAAUGGUGGGAACUCUAAGGAGACUGCCGGUGACAAACCGGAGGAAGGUGGGGACGACGUCAAGUCAUCAUGGCCCUUAUGACCAGGGCUACACACGUGCUACAAUGGAGCGUACAGAGGGUUGCUAAGCCGCGAGGUGGAGCCAAUCCCAGAAAACGUUUCGUAGUCCGGAUCGAAGUCUGCAACUCGACUUCGUGAAGUCGGAAUCGCUAGUAAUCGCGAAUCAGCAUGUCGCGGUGAAUACGUUCCCGGGCCUUGUACACACCGCCCGUCACACCAUGGGAGUGGGUUGCAAAAGAAGUGGCUAGUCUAACCUUCGGGAGGACGGUCACCACUUUGUGAUUCAUGACUGGGGUGAAGUCGUAACAAGGUAGCCCUAGGGGAACCUGGGGCUGGAUCACCUCCUU
rnacentral:rRNA from 1 species